GCUUCUUACGGUUUGGAUGCGCAUGAAAAUUUGUUGGAGUUUGUUUAGUUUCCUCCCUGUUAGUCAUCUUUUCUAAAAUUUUCAUUCCCAAGGAGUUAAUGAAUCUGCCCUGUGAUACGCUAUGCUAUCUAGUUCAUUACAGAUUCAAAGUUUUGAUCUUUUGGCUAACGUUGAUCGGGCAGCCGACAAAAUUAAUGGGAAAUAUUUAUUUUUGCUCAGAGUUUAUUAUAUAUUUGGAGUUUUUUCUUUAUCACCCUCUUGUUGGCCCUGCUUCCCUUAAGUAAUAUUGGAACAUUGAGAUGAUGAAUUAUCUUAAAGUGGGCAUAUUGAUAAAUUUUUCGUUUUAAAAUCUGCGUCCUUCCAGAACUAAUUGCGGCCUGCGGCAGUAUUAGUUUUGGGAACCGGGAGACUGUGUCUGUACAAAUCUUGGUUAGGCUGAUUUAUUGUUUCGCAGCUCGAUCAGUGAAUCGUGUGCUUUUAAUAAAUUUCUGAUUGCUCUUAUAAAAAUGAAUUUUCCCCCUUGAAAAUGUUUUUUUCCCUCAUUUCAUUCAGAACUUGUUCUUUAUAAUUUUUUUUUAGUUUUUAUAUAUCGGUCCUUUUUGGUUUCAUGCCCUACUGAUUCGGAUCUAGGAGAAUACUCAGCUAAAAUUUUGGAUCUUGUACUCGUAAAUAUAGGGAAUUUUUAUUGAGUAAAUUAAUAAUUUUUACGCAUAAAAAACUGAAGAAAUGAUAAGUUCAGGGCCAUGAAUGACUAGAAUUGGGUGACUUUUUGCAUGUAAAGGGAAUUUCUUCCUAAUUUUAAGACUUUCAAUAUUUUAGCCUCGUAAGAUCUAAUAAUUCUAGUUAAUCCCUCCCUCCAACUUACAUAUAGUUAUAACACUUGGCUCCUCUUGUACCCUGAUCCUGCCUAUCUUUCUUUUUUACUUCCAUGACUAUGAACUGUGCCCUAACCCUAAUCAUCUAGUUUUUCUGGUGUCAUGUUGCUGCGAACUGACUAUGAUCUGGGCUGCAG
rnacentral:misc_RNA from 1 species